GCAUAUCAAUAAGCGGAGGAAAAGAAACCAACAGGGAUUGCCCCAGUAACGGCGAGUGAAGCGGCAACAGCUCAAAUUUGAAAUCUGGCCCUCGGGUCCGAGUUGUAAUUUGUAGAGGAUGCUUUUGGCGAGGUGCCUUCCGAGUUCCCUGGAACGGGACGCCAUAGAGGGUGAGAGCCCCGUCUGGUCGGACACCGAGCCUCUGUAAAGCUCCUUCAACGAGUCGAGUAGUUUGGGAAUGCUGCUCAAAAUGGGAGGUAUAUGUCUUCUAAAGCUAAAUAUUGGCCAGAGACCGAUAGCGCACAAGUAGAGUGAUCGAAAGAUGAAAAGCACUUUGAAAAGAGGGUUAAAAAGUACGUGAAAUUGUUGAAAGGGAAGCGCCUAUGACCAGACUUGCGCCCGGUGAAUCAUCCAGCGUUCUCGCUGGUGCACUUUGCCGGGCACAGGCCAGCAUCAGUUUGGCGCGGGGGAAAAAGGCUUCGGGAAUGUGGCUCCCUCGGGAGUGUUAUAGCCCGCUGCGUAAUACCCUGCGCCGGACUGAGGUACGCGCAUCGCAAGGAUGCUGGCGUAAUGGUCAUCAGCGACCCGUCUUGAAACACGGACCAAGGAGUCGUCUUCGUAUGCGAGUGUUCGGGUGUCAAACCCCUACGCGUAAUGAAAGUGAACGCAGGUGAGAGCUUCGGCGCAUCAUCGACCGAUCCUGAUGUUCUCGGAUGGAUUUGAGUAAGAGCAUACGGGGCCGGACCCGAAAGAAGGUGAACUAUGCCUGUAUAGGGUGAAGCCAGAGGAAACUCUGGUGGAGGCUCGCAGCGGUUCUGACGUGCGAAUCGAUCGUCAAAUAUGGGCAUGGGGGCGAAAGACUAAUCGAACCUUCUAGUAGCUGGUUUCCGCCGAAGU
rnacentral:rRNA from 1 species